GACAAUACCUCCAUGUAUAAACCACUACAUGGGAAGGUUCCAGACAGGUGUACUCCAGGGCACAGCAAGAAUGGGGACACACCAUAUGGACCCCCCGGAAGAUUGUAGACUAUUAUGAACCAGUCAGAUGGUCUUCAAUAGGUAUCGUGGGGGUGAGAGCCAGGACAAACGAGCUCAUCAUAAUCUGAUGAUUUCUCAGAGGAUUGAAGCAAUAACAUAUAAGCAAAUGCUUGCAAUGUAUACUCCAAUUAUGCAUGAAAAGGAUUCAGAGGGUCCUUAAAAGCUUUUUGAGGGGGGAAAUGUUAGAAAUGGGCUUCAGCAAUCCCACCCAAUAUGAGUUAGCAGUUCAGUAUACUUAAGCAUGCAGUAGAAAGGCCCCCAUAAGGGCCUCAAGUAGCAAACAAGGAACAAGGAAAUAGAAAAUAUAAUUGCUUUUAUGUUUAGAUGAGAGAAUGUGUUGCUAUAGAACCCAGCCCACAAUAACAGGAUGAAGGACGUGGAUAAGAGAUAAGGAACAGGUGCGAAAGUACGCACAAAGGUGUUAGGUACACACAUAUUGUGGGCUAGGUGCAAAGGUUACUGAGAAAUGUAUUGACUGAAAACACCAAGAUAACCGGGACGGAAAGUCCAAAAAGGAGCAGAGAAGCGUAUGUGUUUGCAUUAGACUUUCACCCCCACACAGGAUGUAUGCACAGGAUGUACACGUGGACAGCUAAUGGAAAAGAACAGUUGCAGAACACAGAAAGGUAUUGGCGAACAGCCAAAGGGUGGUGGCCAACGGAUGUUAAUGCAGAGAAGUGGAAAAAUGCCAUGAGGAGGGGGGAGUAGGUUGAAACCUAUAUAAGACUGCUUGAAUGUAACCUCGAUAGGAGAUUUCUUGGGCAUGAGUCGAGAGAUGGCUCCUCCUGUGUACACAGAAUAAAGGCUUUGAUUCUUGAAUGCUGAUUUCGUGUCUAUCAGUUGGUCAUGGAACCGACCAGAGGGACGGCAACCCUGGACUUAAUCCUCAGUGGGGACCGGGACCUGGUGCGAGAUUUCCAUCUGCUCAAACAAAUGCUACUUUGUAAAAUAUGGCAUUCAUUCCCUGGAUUUACCUAUGAGAAGCUUGAAGAUGUUGACAUCCUGGAAGUAAGCUUUGAUUAAAGAAAGUGUAUGGAGAAAGAGAGGAAAAUGAGGAUUGGGUUUCUCUAGGUAAUAAGUAUCUUCUCACAAUGAAAUACUGCAAGGAAGUGGCUAAUGAAAAAGGUACACGGCCUCAUGCUAUUUUACAUUUGUUGUUUUGCAUUGUAUUAUGCAAUUGCCCCCACCCCCAUUCUGAUCUGGCAUGCAAAAACCAAGAGCAUUCUCUCUCAACGUAUAUGUAUGGCAUUCAAGCGAUGGCCAAAAUUACGCCCACACAAUAUGCCAGGGAACAUCAGGCCUGUCGGCCAAAUGCAGCCCUCUGGGCCUUUACAACUGCUCCCUGGGGUUCUCCUCAAACCAUACCCUCUCCAGACCACAUCCUCUUUCCCCAGGCCACCCCACUAACUCUGCAGCCUUCUUGAGUGUUUUUGCCUGGCUGAAAUUGGUAGUAGAACUCUGAUAAUUCCCCUUGCUUGCCUGGAUGGAGAACAGAGAUGUGAGUCUGUCUAAAAAGGUAGCCUAUUAUACAAAGGUAAAAUUUACAUUCAUUGUUCCACCCACUUUUGCAGCUGGCCCCACCCACCACUGGCAUGUGGCCCCCAGAAGGUUGCCCAAAAGGGAACAGUAGGGUAGUGGUAAAUUCAGAACUGCAGGGUCCCUGCAUGUUCAACACAGCCAUGCCCUCUCCCCACUUUUUUGCUGUGGGGUUGAGAAUGAGAUGCCUAGGAACCAAUAAACAUGAAAGAGGAGAGUGUUAGCACUGAGAAGAGUCUUCUCAGUGUUUGACUCACCUCCUUUCACUCUGAUUGGCUCCAAUCAUCAGGAAAGGACAAGGAAGCAUGUUAGAAGAUUCUUCGCAGUGGCUAAGACACUCCCCUUUCAUGCUGAUUGGCUUGUAGGAUGCUGGAGACACAGGGACCCUGCUGGGAUCCUGCUCCCCCAAAAAUAAAGGGUCUAAGUCCCCGAGGUCCUCCACGACUACACCCCUGAAAGUGAAUGCAGCUCUCAGACUGAAAAAAAAGUUCUUCACCUUCGCAAUAGGCACCCUCUUUCUGCCUCUUUAGAUGCUCCCAGAUGGGUAUUUAUUGUGGGAUCAAUUCUCCUCAUGCAUGCAAGCUUUUCACAGUGUCCACAUAACACUGUGGGAAUGAAAAUGCCAGCACAUAUCCAUCCCCCCAAUUUAAUCCAGAUUUACCAUUUUUCUAGAAAAACCCAGAGGUUUUUUUUUAAAAGCCUUUUGCCAAUGACAUGUUUAUAUUAAGCCCCCACCUGGACACACCCUUAGGCGUUGAUGCUGUGAUCUUAUGUACACACUUACCCAGGACUAAGCCCCACUGAACUUAAUGGGGCUUUUGACUAAGCAUGCAAAGGAUUGCACAAGUGUAAUUAAUGGCUUCAGUAUUACCCCUACAUCUUUCUCUGAGGCCCUUCUCCAGCCCCCCCCCCCGAGAGAGCCUCAAAGGUUGGUGACAAAGGAAAGGGGCUUUUCAGUUGUGGCUCCCCAUCUGUGGAAUGCACACCCCACUGAGGUCUGCCUGGCACCUUCAUUGACAUCUUUUUGGUGCCUGGUAAAGACUUAUUUUUUCCCCAGGCUUUUGACAGACCAGGAUACUAUUUGUUAUCAGUGGAACACCCUCCCAGAGGAGAUACGCCCGGCGCCAACAUUACUAUCUUUUCGGCACCAGGUUAAAACUUUCCUCUUCGCCCAGGCAUUUUAAUUAUUUUAAUUAUUUUAAUCAUGUUGCAUUUAUUGGAAGUGUUUUAAUUUUUAAUAUUUUGUACUUUUAAAUUGUGUUUUUAUAUUGUAUAUGCUUAUGUAUUUCUAAUGUUGUUCUUGUUCUU